rnacentral:lncRNA from 1 species
CGCCCGACUCAUAAGCUACAUAGAUAUGUGGUUGGACCCAUUGGAAAGUAGACUUCAUGAGCUUUCCAACAAGUAUAGGAACGUCCCAGUUGGAGUCCAUAUGACGCCGUGGUGAUCCAUACAAGUUAGAGUUAUUUUCCAGUCCGAAUCCAACUCCCAAAACGUGUUGGGUUUGGACUGUUUGUUUCCUUGCUUUAGAAGCGACGUGGUAACUUGAUAGAGGAUGUUGUGGAGGCUUGGACCUGAUCUCCAAUCACCUUUGUUAUUUUAUCACUCUUCCCAUAUGCAAUCAGCCCUUGAAGUUGGUGUUGCCUCAAAUUUUGAAUGCAGUUGAACCUUCCCUUGCUGAUCUUGUCCAUUAUUCCUGAGCAACACGAAAGUGCACGUGUCUCCAUUGUCUAAAUAUGAUUGACAAGAGUUUAAAACUGAACUUACUUGAAGGUUGAGUUGACGGGCACGAGCACGAGUAAGAGGACCAGCUAUAGGUUGUGUCGGAGAGGAUGUAGGACCAGCUAUAGGUUGUGUCGGAGAUGUAAGACCAGCUAUAGGUUGUGUCGGAGAGGAUGUAGGAGAGGAUGUAUCACUGGUGUUGAUGUCCUCAUCAAUGGGUGACACUGUAUCAAGAGGUGCAGACAUCAAGGUCCGCACCUGAAUCAAAUGACGCACCUAAAGAAUGAACACGGUGAGAAGUCUUGUUCAGAAGACUUAAAACAUUGAACCCUCACCGAAAGGUAAAAUCGGUAGUUAUCCAUAUUUAUCCUUUUUGGAUUCCCUUUUCCCUUAAAUUAUUUACUUUCCUUAAAUGGCUUGUUAGUUAAUCAUGCUAUCUUGAAAAAAAUAAAAAAUGUUAAAAAUAGUAAGCCCCAUGUGAGUAUGCUCGUGGCAUAAAACCCAUAAGUACAUUCACUGUGGUGGUGUAAAAAUAAAAUAAAUAUAUUCCUGUCCUAUAAAAAUGAAAAUAUAAAAAUAAAUUUAUGAUCCUACCAAAGAGAGUAACAUUUAUUAAGGAGGCUCAACAUGAUAAAGGCUAGAUAUUUAUGCUAACACUUAACUAGUUCCACAAAGCUUUGUUGUCUAUUUGAGCUCCACAGUAUUCAAGGAUCAAAAAAGACUAGCAGACGGAGGACAUUCUAAUCGCUGUCAGGGUGCUGCCAACAUUCAAAUACACCUCCGCCAUCUGCUAGCUACAUCAGAAGAAAUUACAUCAAAAUCUAGCUUGGGGGAGAGCACCCUCAUUUAUCCACCUAAGUAUUUCUAUCUACGUUUAUACUUAUACUUUGUUAAAAUAAUAAAAAGAUGCAUAAUCAUAAAAACCCAAAUAAAGAUUUUAGGCUUAUAUAUAUAUCUUUUCUUAGUUUGCUAAAUAAAUAAAUAAAUAAAUAAAGUUUGCUAUGAACCCUCAUGAUAAGCUCUCACAUGGAAAUGAUGAAUAGUUGCUCUACCAUGACUAGUUCUCAAAAGUGAAAUCUCUCUCAAGUUUAGGCAUCACUGUUAUGAAAUAAGAUUUGCUCUAAACCUGAACUUGUGGGAAGAGUACUUGAUCUAAAGUCUAAGUCGUUAACGGAUAUGAUAUGGGAAGGUUGAGCUGCUGUUUAUCUGUUCCUAGAGAUGCUAGAAUUCUGGAGAAUUUUAUCUUUGAAAAUCUUUAAAAUGUUGCAUGAUGAGUUCCUGUAUGAUGAGAGUUUAAAAUCCUACCACAGCCACAUAUACAUGCUUAUUAGACUAUGAACCAUACAUUUACUUUUUACUGCUUACGAGCAUUGAGUGUGGUCAAGCUGUGUAGACCCUUAGGAGCUUGUCAUGCGGUUAAAAUCAAGAUUCACUUGCACGUUCACUCAUAUAUGCUGCUUCUGCUCCAGAAGUACGCAUCCACAUACAUCCACUCCUUUCCAUCUCCAAAUUCACCUAAAAUUAUUCUACUCCUAUCCAGGAGAGAAUAGCCAAAAACAAUUAUCCUAUCCCUGUUAUUCCCCAUGAAAUAAAUGCUCGAGAUAUUUUGGUUACUACCACUUGCUAUAUUAUUUCAGGAGGGUGAGUGCUCUAAAAAAAAGAGAGAAAAGAAAAGAAAAAAAGUGAAUACGAGGAAAUAAAAAGGGGCAAGUGCCCGGAACCUCGAAAGAAAAGAAAAAGUGAGACGAGAGGUAAAAAUGGACAAGUGUCCGACAGUAGAAUUAGGGGUACAAGAUACCCACCUGAGAGAAAAGAAAAAGAAAAUAUAGAGCAUCUCAUUCCUCUCAAAAACCUUCAAAGUGCAAGAAAGGUAUGUAUCCCCUCAAAAGAGCAAAAGUAGAAUUAGACUUUCACCAUUAUUUUCACCAUUAUAACCAUCAUCACCAUACACCAUUCAUCCGCCACACAUGCACAUCUUGGUUUGACUUAUGGACUUGUUUCUCUGGAUCCAUGGUUUGACUAUGCAAUAAAUGUCUUGUAAUUAUGUAUGAGCUGUCUCCCACCUAUGAGCUCCAGAUAUCAAACCUUAUUAGAGUAGGGUGAGAGAGAAGGCAAUAUCACUAUGCCUCAUACCACAAAUACUACAUACUCUGAG